UAUUUACAUAAAUUAAAAAUGGAGGACAGAUCGUGAUUCAACGUAAAAUAUUUUCAUCCAUCCGUACUGGAUUUUCUUGAUUUUCGUACUGUUUCGAGACAUUCCUGCCACAAUGUCUGAACUAAACAUUAGCUCCCUCUCCGUUGAGGAACUUAAAACAGAACUAGGACGUUUGCAGCAGGAAUUAACAGAAACAAACCAAGAAAAAAUCCGAGCGGCAGAAUACGGAUUGGCCGUCCUUGAAGAAAAGCAUCAACUCGAGAGCCAUAUAGAAGAACUCGAGACUGAAAAAGAACACAUCAAAACUGAACUAGAGCAUGCCAAAGAGACGCUCAGUAAACAUCAAGGGAUUUUUAAGAAGCAAAAUGAGAGCGGCAUCAAUCUGGAGGACAGUAUCAUUCGCGAGUCAGUGUCAAGGGAGCAGGGGUAUCAGGAAAACAUACAGAGCCUUGAAGUAGAACUCAAAACCUGCAAACAGAACCAUGAAAGGCUCUCCUCUGAACAUACUGUUAUGGCAAACCUGGUGUCUGAUCUACAAACAAAAUGUGAUCAGCUGGAGGAUCAGAGAAGACAGUUGAAGAGCGAGUUGAAAGAGUACAAGAUCAGAGAAAACAGAAAUAUUGUCGACUAUUCAGAAUUGGAAGAGGAAAACAUAUCUCUGCAAAAGCAAGUGUCUGUGUUAAAACAAAGUCAGGUAGAGUAUGAAGGAUUAAAACAUGAAAAAAAGCGAUUAGAAGAAGAGUUGGAUGACCUGAACAUGCAGUUAGAUGAAAGUGUGUCAUUGAAAAAAAUAGUAGAUAAAAAUCUUGAAGAGGCACUGAAUGCAUUGCAAGUUGAAAGGGAGCAGAAACAUGCUUUGAAGAAAGAACUUGAUGCUAGAUUAACGCAGGAGUCAAUGUUCAAUUUGAGCAAUUUAGCACAACUUGGUGGCCUCAGUGAUGGUUUGAAACUGAAUAAUCAUGAAGGUGAAGGAGAUGAAGAAGAUCAACAUCCAGCACUCAAGAGAGUAGAGGCAGAUUAUGAACAUAAAGAAGAAGGUCAACCAAGGAAAGGGCCAGGCAAAGUCAAUGAUAUUCUUAGUGAAAUUCAACAAAAUGAAGUUAAGAAAUUAGAACAAAUGCUGGAGCAGAGUGAAGAGGAGAAAAUAGAACUGCAGAGAGCAUUAGACGAAGCAAAGAAAUUAAUUGAAGAUACACAGUCUGACCUUAUUGAACAAAAAGACAGAGCAAAUCAGUUAAAAGCACAAAUAAGUGCUGCUUUAGCCAGUGGGAGCCUUGAUUCAUCCCCAGAUAGUGAUGUUACAGAUUAUUUAGACCAACAAAUUGCAAAUGAAUCAGAUCAAGGAAAGAAAGCUUUACUCGAAAUGAAGAAAAAUUUGCUUAUGAAUGAAAAGAAAUAUUCCUCAGCUUUACAGCAGAUCAAUGAACUUCAGUCUGAAAUCAGUAACUUAAUGGACAAAAACAAGCAAGGAGGUCUUAAAGAAGGUGAUCCUGCCGUAACAGAAAUUCUUAAUCAACUUCAGGCUAAGGUCAAGCAAUAUGAAGAUGUUAUAAAAGACAUGAAUAAAGACUUGAAAACAUUUACAAAGAUUGCUGGAGAAUCUCAAGGUUCCUUAAAUAUGACACAGGAAGAAAUGUUGAAAGUUACUGAGGAAUUGGCACAGUUGUAUCAUCUUGUUUGUGAAGUUAGUGGAGAGACACCAAGUCGUGUGAUGCUUCAGCAUGCCAAAGCCAUUGACAAACUGUCAAAACAAGACUCCAGAGAAGGAAGUGAAGAACAAGGAGAGAAAGAGGAGGGAACUGCUGAAAAGGAAAGUGGUAAAAAGAGAAAAUCAAAGCCGAAAAAGAGCCCGGUUGAAAGUUAUGAGAACUCUGUGAAGGCUGAUGCAAAUUCCUGUCAAAAAUUAACUGAAACCAUUCUUGACCAGACAAAACAUUUGAAAAAAUCUGUUGAGCAUUUAAUGGAAGUUUCAAGAAAUAGAACAGACGACAAUGAACAGUCAGAUGCUCAAGAAUUACAAGAACAAAUUGUUAAGUUGAAAGCAAUGUUGUCAACAAAGAGGGAACAGAUUGCAACAUUAAGAAGUGUUCUCAAAGCCAAUAAAUCAACAGCUGAAUUUGCUUUGGCUAACUUGAAACAGAAAUAUGAAAAUGAAAAAGUAAUUGUAACAGAGACAAUGCUGAAAUUGAGAAAUGAACUGAAGGCUCUUAAAGAGGAUGCAGCCACUUUUGCUUCUCUGAGAGCCAUGUUUGCGCAGCGCUGCGAUGAAUAUGUCACCCAGCUUGAUGAAUACCAACGCCAGCUUGCAGCUGCAGAAGAGGAAAAGAAGACCCUUAAUUCUCUUCUACGAAUGGCUAUCCAACAGAAACUGGUGUUAACACAGAGACUAGAGGACUUGGAGUUUGACAGAGAGCGACGGAACAUGCGUCGACCGCAAGGGGGCGGCGGUAGAAACAAGUCUGGCGCUUCCAAAGUAAGUCACUACAAUGAUGAACAGUCAUAUAGUGGGCGCUAUGGGGGAGGCAGACACCAUAACUAUCAAAACCAUCAUAGCCAUUCAAAUCCAAGACGCGACUAUUAGAACUUGAUUACUCCAUUCCUGCAAGUACCAGUUUAUUUUGGGGAACAAUGCUUUUCAUUCCCUGGAAGUUGCUCCAGUUCCCGAGCUAACAUAAUGACCACAAGUAUGGAGUCAACUAACGGGACAUUGUAAAUGCUGAACAGAUAAAUGCAUUUGUUGUUUCGUCGGGGGAAGUGAGACUGUCCUGAUUGUGGCUGGUUUACCAAAGAAUUGAAUGGCUCAUGAGCACUGUCUCGUGUUUUAUCCCAAAGAAUUCAUCCACCAUAUUGAUAUUACAUUGAUCACGGUCUUGUAUCUGUGGUAGAAAACAUUUGAUAGUUGCUACUUUUUACAGUGAAUUUGUGCUUCAUAUUUGGUACUUUGGAAAACAUUUCUUAUAAAGGUUUCGACUGAGGUGGCUACAUGUUCUAGGUCACGAGAGAUGGAAGGUCGUCAUGGAAGCACAGUUCAGACUGGGGUAGCAACAUACUAGUGCCAGUGCAUUUAUGGUCAUGUGACCAUGAAGUAAACAGCUGAUUGGGUAUUGAACUUUCAAACCCAAAAACUGUUUGAUUUUAUAGAAAUAUCAUAAAAAUACAUUUUUUGUGUUGUGAUAAGAUUACUUGGAAACAAGUGUUGUUCAAAUAUUUGGUUUUACCAUUAUUCCUGAUGAAGAUGAAGAGUACACAUGCUGAAAUAUUUAAUUAAUAUUGUCUUGCAGAUAUCACAUAAAGAGCUUUAGGUAAUAACGCUUCUUAAUGUCAUCAUGAAUGGAUAAAAUAGAAUUUAAAAUAGCUGACUGUUUAAAACAUCUAAAAAAAUUGUAACUUUAUAUAUAUAUAUGAUUAUAUUAGAGUAGUAGAUGUUAUGUGUACUCAGAAUACAGUCAAGAAUGGGAGGUUAAUAGUUCAUGAGAUUAUUAUGGUAUACAAGAAAUGUCAUUUUUAUUCCCAUUUUUGUACAUAAACAUGACGUUGUUGUUAGAACCGCAGAGCUGUGAUGUUUUACUAUCUAUAGCAAACUUUUAAAACACCAAUAUGAAGUUAUUUUAAUUUUUAAAUUUCUUAAAAAAAAGGUUUAAGAGUUCAAUAUCGUAGUAAUUUACUAUUUAGUCAGAGAUGUCUUGAUAAGUAAUAUCGAAAAUAAAUUUCAAGACAUGUAUAUUACUUGGAGAAUAAAACGUAACAUUGAUUUGUUACUGUGAAAAGCGGGUUUUAAUUAAUUGGUGCAAUUUUAGAGUAAGUAAGGUUGGCCGUUUGGGUGUUUAAAAUUAUUUUGUUUAAAUUUUGGUUCACAGUUCUUUUAAUUCACAUUAUAUUUCAUUUACUUUCAUUUCUUUUAUUAAAGAUGCCUUUUAGUUGAUUUCUUAAAGGUGCUUUUAUGUUUUUUGUUUUACCUAUUUAUCAAAGCUUCCUUUAAUGUACUUCUCACCGUGUAAAGCAGCUUAUAAAGUAUUUAUUCUGUGUUAUAAUACAUUGUAAGAAUAUCGGAUACAGAGCGUUUUAACUGUAGAAAAGAUCAUUAAAUAUUUACUACAAAGUAUCUAGCCCGCCCGCUUAGCUCAGUAGGUAAGAGCGUUGGUCUACGGAUCACGGGGUCGUGAGUUCGAUCCUUGGUCUACGGAUCACGGGGUCGUGAGUUCGAUCCUCGGGCGGGGCAUAUGUUCUCCGUGACUAUUUGAUAAACGACAUUGUGUCUGCAAUCAUUAGUCCUCCACCUCUGAUUCAUGUGGGGAAGUUGGCAGUUACUUGCGGAGAACAGGUUUGUACUGGUACAGAAUCCAGGAACACUGGUUAGGUUAACUGCCCGCCGUUACAUGACUGAAAUACUGUUGAAAAACGGCGUUAAACCCAAAAAAAACAAAACAAACAAACGAAGUAUCUUUUUAACAGUUCCAUAGAACUGCCCAAUGUGGUGUUCUGUCGGAUUUCUAAGAUUUAAGAAAUGAUAAUAGAUGAUUAAGAAACAGGUGCUUUAUAUAAUUGGUACAACAUUUGACAACGCUUCAAGGUACAUCAGAGGGGAAAAGCUUUUCCCUUAAUGCUUUUCCUAUGCUUACCAUGGCAUGAUAUAUUUUUCCUGUGAUAAUAUAUUUAAGUUUCAUCAUUUAAAUUAUAAUCUCAUUGUAUUAAAGUUUUCUAUUUAUGUGAAAGACUGUUUGACAGUUGCUUUGUUACUACUAAUACAUCUUACUAAACAGAUACACUGAUAUUUACACUUUAAUAUAGGGGUAUUCUACAAAAUUUGAAGAAAAAAUAUAUAAUUUUUUAGCUCACCUGUCACAAAGUGACAAGGUGAGCUUUUGUGAUCGCGUGGCGUCCGUCGUCCGUCCGUCAGUCCGUAAACUUUUGCUUGUGACCACUCUAGAGGUCACAUUUUUCAUGGGAUCUUUAUGAAAGUUGGUCAGAAUGUUCAUCUUGAUGAUAUCUAGGUCAAGUUCGAAACUGGGUCACGUGGGGUCAAAAACUAGGUCAGUAGGUCUAAAAAUAGAAAAACCUUGUGACCUCUCUAGAGGCCAUAUUUCUCAAUGGAUCUUCAUGAAAAUUGGUCAGAAUGUUCAUCUUGAUGAUAUCUAGGUCAAGUUCGAAACUGGGUCACGUGGGGUCAAAAACUAGGUCAGUAGAUCUAAAAAUAGAAAAACCUUGUGACCUCUCUAGAGGCUAUUUUUUUUCAAGAGAUCUUCAUGAAUAUUGGUCAGAAUGUUCACUUGAUGAUAUCUAGGUCAAGUUCGAAACUGGGUCACGUGGGGUCAAAAACUAGGUCAGUAGGUCUAAAAAUAGAAAAACCUUGUGACCUCUCUAGAGGCCAUAUUUCUCAAUGGAUCUUCAUGAAAAUUAGUCAGAUUGUUCAUCUUGAUGAUAUCUAGAUCAAGUUCGAAACUGGGUCACGUGGGGUCAAAAACUAGGUCAGUAGAUCUAAAAAUAGAAAAACAUUGUGACCUCUCUAGAGGCCAUAUUUUUCAAGAGAUCUUCAUGAAUAUUGGUCAGAAUGUUUACCUUGAUGAUAUCUAGGUCAAGUUCGAAACUGGGUCACGUGGGGUCAAAAACUAGGUCAGUAGGUCUAAAAAUAGAAAAACCUUGUGACCUCUCUAGAGGCCAUAUUUCUCAAUGGAUCUUCAUAGAAAUUGGUCAGAAUGUUCACCUUGAUGAUCUCUAGAUCAAGUUUGAAACUGGGUCACGUGCGGUCAAAAACUAGGUCAGUAGGUCUGAAAAUAGAAAAAAAUUUGUGACCUCUCUAGAGGCCAUAUUUUUCGCGGGAUCUUUAUGAAAAUUGGUCAGAAUGUUCACCUUGAUGAUAUCUAGGUCAGGUUCGAAACUGGGUCAUGUGCGGUCAAUAACUAGGUCAGUAGAUCUAAAAAUAGAAAAACCUUGUGACCUCGUUAGAGGCCAUAUUUUUCAAGAGAUCUUCAUGGAAAUAGGUCAGAAUGUUCACCUUGAUGAUAUCUAGAUCAAAUUCGAAACUGGGUCACGUGCGGUCAAAAACUAGGUCAGUAGGUCUAAAAAUAGAAAAACCUUGUGACCUUUCUAGAGGCCAUAUUUCUCAAUGGAUCUUCAUGAAAAUUAAUGAGAAUGUUCAGCUUGAUGAUAUCUAGAUCAAGUUCGUAACUGGGUCAUGUGCGGUCAAAAACUAGGUCAGUAGGUUGAAAAAUAGAAAAACCUUGUGACCUCUCUAGAGGCCAUAUUUUUCACGAGAUCUUCAUGAAAAUCGGUGAGAUUGUUCACCUUGAUGAUAUCUAGGUCAAGUUUAAAAGUGGGUCACGUGCCUUCAAAAACUAGGUCAUUAGGUCAAAUAAUAGAAAAACCUUGUGACCUCUCUAGAGGUCAUAUUUUUCAAUGGAGUUCAUGAAAACUGGUCAGAAUUUUUUAUCUUGAUGAUAUCUAGGUCACAUAUGCUCAAAACCUAGGUCACUAUGACAAAUAAUAGAAAUAGCGACGUCAUACUCAGUUCAACACUGGGUCAAGUGGGGAUAGGUGAGCGAUUCAGGACCAUCAUGGUCCUCUUGUUUUUUUAUGUAACACAAAAAUUUAUGAUAUUAUGCUGAUAAUUCUUGUGUUCAGCUGUUUGUGUUCUAUGAACUUUAUCUGCUGGAGUGUUUUCCACAUAAUCAUGCUAUUCUUGCAUCUGAUUGGUCAAUUGACUAUAAAUGCUGAAAUCUGAUUGGUUUAUUUGAUACUGACAUUCUAUUGGUUUAUUUUGCUAUAUAAGGCUACCUCAAGAUGUAAAUAUUGAAUCUGAGUAAUGUCAUGUUACUAGAAAUCAGAAUGAAAAAAAAAUGUAAAAUUCAAACAAGCGAGAAAGGUGUUACUUCAAAAUUACUAUCGAAGCUUGUUGGUUAAAUUGAUUUAUACCCAUUGAUUGAAUUGAUGUAAUGAAUAAAAAGAUCAAUUAAAAUUAACUGAAAAAUUCUUAGAAUCAGUUUUGACAUAAUUUAUUAUUGAGCCUUUUAUCAUUCUAUAUGUAUAUAUAUCUAGCUUUUUAUGGGAAAAUGUUGAUGACUGUUUUCUUGUAUACAAAUUGUGCUGUAAUAUUUAUAUGCUUCAGUUUCUUUAGUUCUAAAUUUUAUUUAAGUUGCUGGUUAUUUUUAAAGAGAAAGAAAGUUUUUAUGUUUAUGUCUUAUUUUAUGGUGAUAAUACAGUUAAAUAUAUGCAAUGUUUUUAUAUAUUUACAUACUGUUGCGUCUUAGAAUAUGUAUAAUCUCCAUUUCAAAGAAUUUACAGUAGUUGUACAUUUUAAAGGAAAAGUUUAUAUUUUAGUUGGGUUGGGCUUGAGCUGAAAAUUGCAUCAAUUAUCAAAACAAAAUUUAGGCAGAGUGCAAGUUUUGUUGAAUAUGUGUGAUUAUGUAUGCAUGAAUGUUGCUAUGUAUUAUCAUAUUUCUAUGCUGUGUCAAAGAUUACAGAAAAUAGAUGAAAAUGAACA